rnacentral:misc_RNA from 1 species
CAGAGAUCAUGCCCUCACGGGUAGACCUCCCACCCUGUGUUAUUUACUAUUGUUGCUUUGGCAGGCCGCCUUCGGGCUCCCGGCUCCGGCUGGGGUGCGCCUGCCAGAGGACCCCCAACUCUGUGUUUAGUGUCGUCUGAGUACUAUCUAAUAGUUA